AUUGAACGCUGGCGGCAUGCUUUACACAUGCAAGUCGAACGGGGUGAAGGGGCAACUCUUCAUUCAGUGGCGAACGGGUGAGUAAUGCAUCGGAACGUAUCCCGUAGUGGGGGAUAACCCAGCGAAAGCUGGGCUAAUACCGCAUAUGCUCUACGGAGGAAAGUGGGGGACCUGCAAGGGCCUCACGCUAUGGGAGCGGCCGAUGUCCGAUUAGCUAGUUGGUGGGGUAAUGGCCUACCAAGGCGACGAUCGGUAGCUGGUCUGAGAGGAUGAUCAGCCACACUGGGACUGAGACACGGCCCAGACUCCUACGGGAGGCAGCAGUGGGGAAUUUUGGACAAUGGGGGCAACCCUGAUCCAGCCAUGCCGCGUGCGGGAAGAAGGCCU
rnacentral:rRNA from 1 species